GACGAACGCUGGCGGCGUGCUUAACACAUGCAAGUCGAACGGAAAGGCCCUGCUUUUGUGGGGUGCUCGAGUGGCGAACGGGUGAGUAACACGUGAGUAACCUGCCCUUGACUUUGGGAUAACUUCAGGAAACUGGGGCUAAUACCGGAUAGGAGCUCCUGCUGCAUGGUGGGGGUUAGAAAGUUUCGGCGGUUGGGGAUGGACUGGCGGCUUACCAGCUUGUUGGUGGGGUAGUGGCUUACCAAGGCUUUGACGGGUAGCCGGCCUGAGAGGGUGACCGGCCACAUUGGGACUGAGAUACGGCGCAGACUCCUACGGGAGGCAGCAGUGGGGAAUAUUGCACAGUGGGCGGAAGCCUGAUGCAGCAACGCCGCGUGCGGGAUGACGGCCUUCGGGGUGUAAACCGCUUUCGCCUGUGACGAAGCGUGAGUGACGGUAAUGGGUAAAGAAGCACCGGCUAACUACGUG
rnacentral:rRNA from 1 species